rnacentral:rRNA from 1 species
GAAGAGCUUGCUCUUCAAAUCGAGUGGCGAACGGGUGAGUAACGCGUGAGGAACCUGCCUCAAAGAGGGGGACAACAGUUGGAAACGACUGCUAAUACCGCAUAAGCCCACGGCUCGGCAUCGAGCAGAGGGAAAAGGAGCAAUCCGCUUUGAGAUGGCCUCGCGUCCGAUUAGCUAGUUGGUGAGGUAAUGGCCCACCAAGGCGACGAUCGGUAGCCGGACUGAGAGGUUGAACGGCCACAUUGGGACUGAGACACGGCCCAGACUCCUACGGGAGGCAGCAGUGGGGAAUAUUGCACAAUGGGGGAAACCCUGAUGCAGCGACGCCGCGUGGAGGAAGAAGGUCUUCGGAUUGUAAACUCCUGUUGUUGAGGAAGAUAAUGACGGUACUCAACAAGGAAGUGACGGCUAACUACGUGCCAGCAGCCGCGGUAAAACGUAGGUCACAAGCGUUGUCCGGAAUUACUGGGUGUAAAGGGAGCGCAGGCGGGAGAACAAGUUGGAAGUGGAAUCCAUGGGCUCAACCCAUGAACUGCUUUCAAAACUGUUUUUCUUGAGUAGUGCAGAGGUAGGCGGAAUUCCCGGUGUAGCGGUGGAAUGCGUAGAUAUCGGGAGGAACACCAGUGGCGAAGGCGGCCUACUGGGCACCAACUGACGCUGAGGCUCGAAAGUGUGGGUAGCAAACAGGAUUAGAUACCCUGG